AAUGAACGUUGGCGGCGUGGAUUAGGCAUGCAAGUCGCGCGAGAAGGGUUUUAUGCUUGCAUUUGACCCGGACAGCGGCGAAAGGGAGAGUAACGCGUAGAUACCUACCCCCAGACCCGGGAUAGCGGCGGGAAACUGCCGGUAAUACCAGACAAUGUCUCCGGACCAAAGGUGUAAUUCCGUCCGAGGAUGAGUCCGCGUCCUAUUAGCUUGUUGGUGGGGUAAUGGCCUACCAAGGCUGUGAUGGGUACCGGGUGUGAGAGCAUGGCCCGGCUCACUGGGACUGAGACACUGCCCAGACACCUACGGGUGGCUGCAGUCGAGAAUCUUCGGCAAUGGGCGCAAGCCUGACCGAGCGACGCCGCGUGCGGGAUGAAGGCCUUCGGGUUGUAAACCGCUGUCAGAGGGGAGGAAAUGCAUGAGGGUUCUCUCUCAUGUUUGACCUAUCCUCAGAGGAAGUACGGGCUAAGUUCGUGCCAGCAGCCGCGGUAAUACGAACCGUACGAACGU
rnacentral:rRNA from 1 species